AAACACGUGGUGUAAUGGCAACACCCCCUGGUCUCUAUCUCUGCCUAUGUAGGCACCUAACGAAAAGAACCAAGGAGAUGUAGGUUCGAAUCCUGCCGUGCUUU